GGCUCAGAUUGAACGCUGGCGGCAUGCCUUACACAUGCAAGUCGAACGGGCAGCACGGGGCAACCUGGUGGCGAGUGGCGAACGGGUGAGUAAUGCAUCGGAACGUGCCAUUGAGUGGGGGAUAACGUAGCGAAAGUUGCGCUAAUACCGCAUAUUCUGUGAGCAGGAAAGCAGGGGACCGCAAGGCCUUGCGCUCUUUGAGCGGCCGAUGUCAGAUUAGCUAGUUGGUGAGGUAACGGCUUACCAAGGCGACGAUCUGUAGCGGGUCUGAGAGGAUGAUCCGCCACACUGGAACUGAGACACGGUCCAGACUCCUACGGGAGGCAGCAGUGGGGAAUUUUGGACAAUGGGCGCAAGCCUGAUCCAGCCAUGCCGCGUGAGUGAAGAAGGCCUUCGGGUUGUAAAGCUCUUUCGGCCGGGAAGAAAUCGCAUGGGUUAAUACCCUGUGUGGAUGACGGUACCGGAAUAAGAAGCACCGGCUAACUACGUG
rnacentral:rRNA from 1 species